rnacentral:tRNA from 1 species
GGAGAGGUGGCCGAGAGGCUGAAGGCAACCGAUUGCUAAUCGGUUUUCUGCUGAAAGGUGGAACGUGGGUUCGAAUCCCACCCUCUCCG